rnacentral:rRNA from 1 species
UAGUCCACGCCGUAAACGAUGAUUACUCGGUGCUAGCAAUAUACCGUUAGUGCCUAAGCGAAAGCGAUAAGUAAUCCACCUGGGGAGUACGGUCGCAAGAUUGAAACUCAAAGGAAUUGACGGGGGCCCGCACAAGCGGUGGAGCAUGUGGUUUAAUUCGAUGAUACGCGAGGAACCUUACCUGGGCUUAAAUGUAGAUUGACAGAUUGGGAAACCAGUCCUCCUUCGGGCAGUCUACAAGGUGCUGCAUGGUUGUCGUUAGCUCGUGCUGUGAGGUGUCGGGUUAAGUCCCAUAACGAGCGCAACCCCUAUCCUUAGUUGCCAGCGAGUAAUGUCGGGGACUCUAGGGAAACUGCCGGUGCAAACCGUGAGGAAGGUGGGGAUGACGUCAAAUCAUCACGGCCCUUACGUCCAGGGCUACACACGUGCUACAAUAGUUUUUCAAAAAGAAGCAAAAAUGUAAGUUUUAGCAAAUCUUCAAAAAAUUGAGUUCGGAUUGUUUUCUGAAAUUCGAAAACAUUAAGUUGGAAUUGCUAGU